rnacentral:lncRNA from 1 species
CUCGGUUAUUUUUUAUUGCAUUUUUAUAAUUUUUCAUUAACUUUUUCUCCUUUCAAAUUUUUCUUCUUUUUUUUUUAUGUGCUUUCAUUUUUUUUUGUUCACUUUUUUCUUUGUUUUAAAAUUUUCUAUAAAUUUUUUUCUUUUUGUUUUAUUUCAUAUUUUUGCCUCUUCAUUUUUUAUUUUUUUCUUCUUUUUCUCAUUUUUUUCUCAAAUUUUAUUUUAUAUAUUUUGUAUUUUCAUUUUUUAUUUUUUUCUUGCUUUCUCUUAAAUCUUUUUGUUCGCACUUUUUUU